ACGAGUGGCGGACGGGUGAGUAAUGUCUGGGAAACUGCCUGAUGGAGGGGGAUAACUACUGGAAACGGUAGCUAAUACCGCAUAACGUCGCAAGACCAAAGAGGGGGACCUUCGGGCCUCUUGCCAUCAGAUGUGCCCAGAUGGGAUUAGCUAGUAGGUGGGGUAACGGCUCACCUAGGCGACGAUCCCUAGCUGGUCUGAGAGGAUGACCAGCCACACUGGAACUGAGACACGGUCCAGACUCCUACGGGAGGCAGCAGUGGGGAAUAUUGCACAAUGGGCGCAAGCCUGAUGCAGCCAUGCCGCGUGUAUGAAGAAGGCCUUCGGGUUGUAAAGUACUUUCAGCGGGGAGGAAGGCGUUGUGGUUAAUAACCACAGCGAUUGACGUUACCCGCAGAAGAAGCACCGGCUAACUCCGUGCCAGCAGCCGCGGUAAUACGGAGGGUGCAAGCGUUAAUCGGAAUUACUGGGCGUAAAGCGCACGCAGGCGGUCUGUCAAGUCGGAUGUGAAAUCCCCGGGCUCAACCUGGGAACUGCAUUCGAAACUGGCAGGCUAGAGUCUUGUAGAGGGGGGUAGAAUUCCAGGUGUAGCGGUGAAAUGCGUAGAGAUCUGGAGGAAUACCGGUGGCGAAGGCGGGCCCCCUGGACAAAGACUGACGCUCAGUGCGAAAGCGUGGGGAGCAACAGGAUUAGAUACCCUGGUUAGUCCACGCCGUAAACGAUGUCGACUUGGAGGUUGUGCCCUUGAGGCGUGGCUUCCGGAGCUAACGCGUUAAGUCGACCGCCUGGGGAGUACGGCCGCAAGGUUAAAACUCAAAUGAAUUGACGGGGGCCCGCACAAGCGGUGGAGCAUGUGGUUUAAUUCGAUGCAACGCGAAGAACCUUACCUACUCUUGACAUCCAGAGAACUUUCCAGAGAUGGAUUGGUGCCUUCGGGAACUCUGAGACAGGUGCUGCAUGGCUGUCGUCAGCUCGUGUUGUGAAAUGUUGGGUUAAGUCCCGCAACGAGCGCAACCCUUAUCCUUUGUUGCCAGCGGUCCGGCCGGGAACUCAAAGGAGACUGCCAGUGAUAAACUGGAGGAAGGUGGGGAUGACGUCAAGUCAUCAUGGCCCUUACGAGUAGGGCUACACACGUGCUACAAUGGCGCAUACAAAGAGAAGCGACCUCGCGAGAGCAAGCGGACCUCAUAAAGUGCGUCGUAGUCCGGAUUGGAGUCUGCAACUCGACUCCAUGAAGUCGGAAUCGCUAGUAAUCGUAGAUCAGAAUGCUACGGUGAAUACGUUCCCGGGCCUUGUACACACCGCCCGUC
rnacentral:rRNA from 1 species